GGAGGGGAAGGAAAAUGAUGGUGGAUCCAGGGAUUUGGGAAUUCCGGAGUCUUGGAAUCCGGAAUCCUUUGGAAGCAGGGAUUGGGAUCUGCCAGCUGGAGGUGUGGGAUGGGAAGGGACAUUCCUGCUUUUCCUGGAUUGGGAAUUCUGAAGAAAACAGGGAAGGAGGUGCUGGAUCCAGGGAUUUGGGAAUUCCGGACUCUUGGAAUCUGGAAUUCCUUGGAAGCAGGGAUUGGGAUCUGCCAGCUGGAGCUGUGGGAUGGGAAGGGACAUUCCUGCUUUUCCUGGAUUGGGAAUUCUGAGGAAGGGAAGGAAAGGAGGGAAAGAGGACAGGGAAUGGUUGGAAUCUGGAUUGGAAUCUCCCAGCUGGAAUUUUUCCCUCCUGGGAAGGAUUUUGGUGGCUCUGGAAUUCCCUGGAGGUGAAGAUGUGGAUGAGGAUCCACAGGAAUAAUUCCUGCUUUUCCUGGAUUGGGAAUUCUGAGGAAAAAGAGGGGAAGGAGGUGCUGGAUCCAAGGAUUCCGGAGUUCUGGAAUCUUGGAAUCCCGAAUCCUUUGGAAGCAGGGAUUGGGAUCUGGCAGCAGGAGGUGUGGGAUGGGAAGGGACAUUCCUGCUUUUCCCUGGAUUGGGAAUUCUGAGGAAGGAAGGAAAGGAGGGAAAGAGGACAGGGAAUGUUUGGAAUCUGGGAUUGGAAUCUCCCAGCUGGAAAUUUUCCCUCCUGGGAAGGAUUUUGGUGGCUCUGGAAUUCCCUGGAGGUGAAGAUGUGGAUGGGGAUCCGCAGGAAUAAUUCCUGCUUUUCCUGGAUUGGGAAUUCUGAGGAAAAAGAGGGAAGGAGGUGCUGGAUCCAGGGAUUUGGGAAUUCCAGACUCUUGGAAUGCCGAAUCCUUUGGAAGCAGGGAUUGGGAUCUGCCAGCGGGAGGUGUGGGAUGGGAAGGGACAUUCCUGCUUUUCCUGGAUUGGGAAUUCCUGAGGAAAAGAGGGAAGGAGGUGCUGGAUCCAGGGAUUUGGGAAUUCCGGAAUCUUGGAAUCCCAAAUCCUUCGGAAGCAGGGAUUGGGAUCUGCCAGCGGGAGGUGUGGGAUGGGAAGGGAAAUUCCUGCUUUUCCCUGGAUUGGGAAUUCUGAGGAAAACAGGGAAGGAGGUGCUGGAUCCAAGGAUUCAGGAGUUCUGGAAUCUUGGAAUCCCGAAUCCUUUGGAAGCAGGGAUUGGGAUCUGCCAGCUGGAGGUGUGGGAUGGGAAGGGACAUUCCUGCUUUUCCCUGGACUGGGAAUUCUGAGGAAAAAGAGGGAAGGAGGGAAGGAGGUGCUGGAUCCAGGGAUUUGGGAAUUCCGGACUCUUGGAAUCCCGAAUCCUUUGGAAGCAGGGAUUGGGAUCUGCCAGCAGGAGGUGUGGGAUGGGAAGGGACAUUCCUGCUUUUCCUUGGAUUGGGAAUUCUGAGGAAAAAGAGGGAAGGAGGUGCUGGAUCCAGGGAUUUGGGAAUUCCGGAAUCUUGGAAUCUGGAGUUCCUUGGAAGCAGGGAUUGGGAUCUGCCAGCUGGAGGUGUGGGAUGGGAAGGGACAUUCCUGCUUUUCCCUGGAUUGGGAAUUCUGAGGAAGGGAAGGAAAAGUGGAAAAAAAUAGGAGGAAAAAGGUGCUGGAUCCAGGGAUUCCCCAUUCCCAAAGCAGGAAGGGUUGGAAUCUGGGAUUGACAUCUCCCAGCUGGAAUUUUGGUGGCUCUGGAAUGACCUGGAUCCAU